UACGUGAACUUAGAAAAAUAAAAAGAGAUAUUUGAUAUGGAUUGGCAGCUGCCGCUAGGACGGCGGCAGCAGUGGUCACUUGAAACACGAUGUUGAAUGUGCCACGGUGCCAAUACAUACAAAUAUCUCUUUUUUAAUUUUUCUUAGUAAACGGAGUAG
rfam:Pseudobutyrivibrio ruminis strain ACV-9 genome assembly, contig: IE77DRAFT_scaffold00013.13